UACGUAGGGUGCAAGCGUUGUCCGGCAUUAUUGGGCGUAAAGAGCUCGUAGGCGGUCUGUCGCGUCGGCUGUGAAAACCCGGGGCUCAACCCCGGGCCUGCAGUCGAUACGGGCAGACUAGAGUGCGGUAGGGGAGACUGGAAUUCCUGGUGUAGCGGUGAAAUGCGCAGAUAUCAGGAGGAACACCGGUGGCGAAGGCGGGUCUCUGGGCCGUAACUGACGCUGAGGAGCGAAAGCGUGGGGAGCAAACAGG
rnacentral:rRNA from 1 species